ensembl:snoRNA Gm26012 predicted gene, 26012
CCUGCCCCUACAGACAUUGCAGGUAUGGGUGCUGUAUCACAUUGUGUCAGUAGGUGGCAGUGAGGAGAGAGGCUAUGUCUAUAUGUCAGAUGACCUGUAAACAUCUGACCGAUUAGUGGCCUAACGUC